CACCCUAAAAUGUGAGCCUGAGUGAGAAAUCAGUGUCUUAAAGGCCUGUGGCUGCAGCAGCUGUCAUGAAAGCCAGCACAUGACAGGUACUUGGGUGAACUGGAUGGUUUGUGUCAUCUGGCCAUCAAGUGAGCCACCACUAGAGGGCACUGGCAGUUCGGUCAGAUUGGAGGCGCUGGAGGUGUUCCCACAGACACAGGGUCAGGACUGUUUAUGAAAGCACCUGGACUCAAGCCUGGACUUCUGUAUUUCACCCAGGCAGGA
rnacentral:lncRNA from 1 species